AAAAAAAAACAAUUUUCUAAAACCAAAAUAGAAUGAGGCUUAGUCAAACACGACACAAUGUAAUGUAAAAGAAAAUAGUUUAUAGCUUGAAAUAGAUUUAUCCAACUUAGUUUACAUAAAUUUAAGACGUAAGCAUGGAUUAAAAAUGCUAAAAUAUUUUUUCUGGUCGGCGAGAUUUGAACACAUACUUGUUUGCAUAUUGUCUCAUAAUGCAAGAAAAGAAAGCAGUAUUGAAAUUCAGAC
rnacentral:lncRNA from 1 species